rnacentral:lncRNA from 1 species
AGUGUGUGUGUGUGUGAGAGAGAGAGAGAGAGAGAAAUAAGAGUGUGUGCAUGAAUCCAUAGUUCUGAUUGACUGCUUUUGCAGUUGUACAGUGCUAUCGUGCUUAGUGGCAGCUUGGUAAAUUUCUGUUGCCAGGGUGUUUGUUCAGAGGCUCCUCUGUCCUUCCUUGUCCGCCACCCAAACCCCACGAGCUGAAGCAACGGCUACCUGCUUUAGAAUUCAAAAGUAUUCCGAAUAAAGGAACAAAACCACCGACCUUAGCUUCGCCUUUCCAGCUGUACCCCACCGGCAGCACCCGCCUCCCAACUC